rnacentral:misc_RNA from 1 species
UUUCCGUAGGUGAACCUGCGGGAGGAUCAUUACUAACGUAUCCCUGUAUAAACCAAAACAGUUGAAUUUUGUUCGAAAACAUAUUCGUCCGUUAUGCUGGGAAUGAGUUGAUUUGGAGAUGUUUCUAUAUGAGAAUGUACAUCUCUGAUUGACUUCGGGCUUCGGCUUACCGUAACUAGUUCGCGAAUUAAAAUAUAUCAACAACAUAACUCUUAUUUCAAUCCAUUUCACCCUAUUCCUUUAAAUGAACUUGACAUUAAUUCACUAGAAAUAGUGAGUCUUAAUAUUUCGAAAUUAAGAACAACUCUCAACAACGGAUAUCUUGGCUCUC